rnacentral:rRNA from 1 species
GAUGAACGCUGGCGGUAUGCUUAACACAUGCAAGUCGAACGGACUCUUCGGAGUUAGUGGCGGACGGGUGCGUAACGCGUGAGAAUCUGGCUUUGGGUUCGGGACAACCACUGGAAACGGUGGCUAAUACCGGAUGUGCCGAGAGGUAAAAGAGAAAUUGCCUGAAGAUGAGCUCGCGUCUGAUUAGCUAGUUGGUGAGGUAAAGGCUCACCAAGGCAGCGAUCAGUAGCUGGUCUGAGAGGAUGACCAGCCACACUGGGACUGAGACACGGCCCAGACUACUACGGGAGGCAGCAGUGGGGAAUUUUCCGCAAUGGGCGAAAGCCUGACGGAGCAAUACCGCGUGAGGGAAGAAGGCUCUUGGGUUGUAAACCUCUUUGCUUAGGGAAGAACAAAAUGACGGUACCUAAGGAAUCAGCAUCGGCUAACUACGUG